rnacentral:rRNA from 1 species
UUGGAGGGCAAGUCUGGUGCCAGCAGCCGCGGUAAUUCCAGCUCCAAUAGCGUAUAUUAAAGUUGUUGCAGUUAAAAAGCUCGUAGUUGAAUUUCGGGAUUGGCGUGUCGGUCGUGCCUUACGGGGUAUGAACUGGCGUCGUCGAUUUCUCACCUUCUGGAGAAUCACGAUGCCCUUAAUUGGGUGUCGUGUGGAACCAGGACCUUUACCUUGAAAAAAUUAGAGUGUUUAAAGCAGGCAUUUUGCUCGAAUACAUUAGCAUGGAAUAAUAAAAUAGGACGGCUUGGUUCUAUUUUGUUGGUUUCUAGGAUCACCGUAAUAAUUAAUAGGGAUAGUUGGGGGCAUUAGUAUUCAAUUGUCAGAGGUGAAAUUCUUGGAUUUAUUGAAGACUAACUACUGCGAAAGCAUUUGCCAAGGAUGUUUUCAUUAAUCAAGAACGAAAGUUAGGGGAUCGAAGACGAUCAGAUACCGUCGUAGUCUUAACCAUAAACUAUGCCGACUAGGAAUCAGACGAUGUUAAUUUUUUAAUGACUCGUUUGGCACCUUACGGGAAAC